rnacentral:rRNA from 1 species
GGACGAACGCUGGCGGCGUGCUUAACACAUGCAAGUCGAGCGGUAAGGCCCUUUCGGGGGUACACGAGCGGCGAACGGGUGAGUAACACGUGGGUGACCUGCCCUCAGCUCUGGGAUAAGCCUGGGAAACCGGGUCUAAUACCGGAUAUGACUCCAUGACGCAUGUUGUGGGGUGGAAAGCCUUGUGCGGCUGAGGAUGGGCCCGCGGCCUAUCAGCUUGUUGGUGGGGUGAUGGCCUACCAAGGCGACGACGGGUAGCCGGCCUGAGAGGGCGACCGGCCACAC